UAAAAAUUAAAUCCACUGAAAACAAUGUGUGUGUGUACUAUUCAUUCAUGCGUCCAUAAGAGGAGGGAUAUAAUCCAAACGCCAACAAGGAAGCCUGCUGCCAGCAUCAACACGCUGUGCGUAAAACGCAAUUUUCCUUACUGGGUUAUUUCUAACUACGACACAGAAAUAACAAGGACAGAUUCUUCCACGUAGGCCGUGCCCGAAUACAAUUUUGGCAGCCCCAGAAAGUCAAAAGACUUUGUUGUCUGGUCAAAAUCAAAAUAUGCAAAAGAAUCUCUGUUUGGUUUGGAGGAGAACAAAAAGAAAAGAAAGAAACAAAAAAUCUUUUCAGAGGAGCAGUUUUUCAUAGCCCAUAAAUAAAAGAAAAUUAGAAAGAAAAAAUGUUUAAAAAGAAAAAAAAAAAUAUUGUGAAACAAGAAAAGGUUGAAUGUAUAAAUAUAGCAACCGAUACAUUUUAAUGGUGCAUGAAGAGAAAGGGGUCGUUGUUAGCCAUCACUACGUUACACGUGUGGUCUCCUUUCAGGCUAGUUUUACUAUUCCGCAUGGAAUAUCGUUUAGUUUUCCUUUUCAAUCUCUUUUCUUUCCAUUUGGCGGUGGCACAAACAAAAUAGUAUACCGAACUUUUGCGUUUGCCAACAGAGAUUGGUGUCAAUGUCGGAAGGCAGACGGAUGCAGAGAAACCAAAAAUACAACCUUGGGUCCCCCCACCUGGCUUUAUUAGUGAAUCGGGGACUUUUGAUUCAAAAAUUCACAUCGUCACAGACAGGCGGAAAGGAAGGCAACCAUGAAAACGCGUCCGCUAAACGCAGUUGCAAAUCUUUCUUGUUCUUUUCUCAAAAGCGAAUGAACAGAGAAAAAUGUUAAAGAAACUCAUUUAAAAAAACAAAAAAGGAUUUCUAGCAGAUUGUAGCGUAAUACUAGAAUGGCGGCGUGCUACUCUCCGGAUAUGGAACAUCAUCAACAAGUGGUGCCGCUCACAUGCGUGUUAGAUUGCUCGAUCCUACUUUGUUCGCAAAACAAAACAAAACAAAAAAAAAAAAACAGCCUUGGCCGCCUUUUUCUUUUUUUUCUUCGUUCCUGAUGUCUAUCCCAUUUUUGGCAACCGACGACGGAGAAACAUGGCCAAAGGAAGAAAGAAGGCGAAAACACAAACAAACGUCCUACUACAAAACUUGGCGUGAUAAAAAACAUCUUGUAUCGGUUUGUCUUUCUCUUUUGUCUUCUUGUUGUUUUCAUCAUCAGCAGCAACACUUCCAUCAAGACAAUGCGUAUUUCUUCAUUGGCUUUUCUUGCUAUCAGGCCCCCCUCCAACGGAUGCAAGUGCGCAGUUGCAACAAUAACAAACCGAAGAGAAACCAAUGGUGAAAUCCAGAUCCACUGGUUCUUUCAUUUUGUUUUUGUUUUUUUAAAUCUCCCUAAUGUGAAUCGCUCUCUCUUUCUCGUCAUUGUCUACGAGUUUCUAUCUUAAAAAAAACAAACAAAAACAUAACGGUAUAAAUAUCAACAACAACAACAGCAAACAACCAGGUAAACUCGUAAAUGGAGCGCGCGACUGCAACAGUCAGCUUUGUUACAUACAAAAACGCCUAUGAGGACGUUUCACGCGAGGACUUUGAGCAGACCAGACAAGUAGAUGAAGCGAUAAAGACAACGAAGAAGAAAAAAGAGGCGAAAAUUGAAUAAAAACAAGAGAGAAAAAAACUUGUUAACUGCGCAGAAUUCAAGGAUUGGCCACGUGAGCGCACAAGUUUGAUUAGGUUGCGGUCGAGUGCCAAUCGAUAAGUUCCUGUUGCGAAGGGUAUUGCGUCACAGACUGGAUAACACAGUCAACAUUUCAAGCGUAAGCGUGACCUUAAUGCAAAAAGUAUCCAAGAUUGAUAGUUCAACUUGAAUGGGCCGUCUGCGAUUGCGAUAAAAGAAACCUACACGCACGCGCAACAAUUUUGCGGGCAAAAGAACGAGCCUGAUGGAAUACAAACACCCUACGUCGAAGAGAUGCCCUUUUCGAGGAAACUAGAUCGCUGACAAAGAUACGAAAUUUUGGUAAAUGUAACACCUGGUCGCCCGGUUCACUUGCUGUGGCCAUUUCUUGUUUACAUGUUCAACGCUACAUCUGCUCGCCCGUCUCAGCUGCUCGUACAGUUCUAAUCUUUGACCAUACCUAUUCACGCAAUUAAAAAGCUAAGCGUUCGUUUACUAGUCGUAUAAUCGAUUCAAAAUCAAAUGAAAAAAAAAAAAAUCCCUCUUUCGUGAUUAUGAAAAACGCCAUGAAGAGAAAGAGAUGCCCAGACUGGCCCCCCUCGAGCGGACUCCGAUCCAUCAUCCAAGUCAAUCCUCGUGGAAUUGUUGUCUAACGUCUCGUCUAACAUUGCGCAGAGUUUGCGCGCAUGGUAGAUGGAUUGAAACGGACCAAUGAAGCGUAGUCGCUCUCGAGAGCCUGGAUUGACGGGUUGAAUAAGUAUGAAGUUCAACUACAACCUCAUCUACAAUUUGUCCAUUAUUAUAUAUACGAGAAUAUUUUAAAAAGAGAGAGAGAAAUAGACUGCAGUCUGGCCAAUUCAUAUUCCAUUUUUUGAUUGACAUUGACAUGGCCCCCCUCUUUUUGAAAUCAGAUCCAGCGUCUACAAAUUUACCUCCCAUCUCUUUCCUGCCCAGACUGUUUCUACUUCUCCUUUCUUUUGUGUUUAUCACAUUAAUAGGAGUUUACUGGUCUCUCUCUAUCGCUUUCCAUGUAUUUUAUUCCCCCCUUCCCUUGUUUUUUGUCUAGCCUUUUUUUUUUUUCAAGUGGAGAUGAUCAAUCGUUUUUUUGCUGCUCCGACAUCGUUGCAUCAGCUGCCUCCAUUAACAGGAGGCGAUGAUGGCGAACGAAAUUGGAUAACAAAUAAUACACAUUAGAUACAAACAGGGGCUAUACAUCAAACACUAGAGAAAAACGGCUGCUGAUUUAUUUCCUACCCUCAUAUUACAUUGUCGACUUACGCCAGUGAAAUGUGGUUUGGGUUCCCUCCGCCAAUCCGCCAUGCGUGAUGGUGUAACUCCACACACACACACAUUGUGUGUGUACGUGUGGAGUGCUACUCUGUAAAAGGCAACGGCCUUGUUGAAGUCGUACUAGACAUGCUCGAG
rnacentral:lncRNA from 1 species